GAUGAAGAACGUAGUGAAAUGCGAUAAGUAAUGUGAAUUGCAGAAUUCAGUGAAUCAUCGAAUCUUUGAACGCACAUUGCGCCCGCCAGUAUUCUGGCGGGCAUGCCUGUUCGAGCGUCAUUUCAACCAUCAAGCCCCCCGGCUUGUGUUGGGGACCUGCGGCUGCCGCAGGCCCUGAAAAGCAGUGGCGGGCUCGCUGUCACACCGAGCGUAGUAGAUCUCAUCUCGCUCAGGGCGUGCUGCGGGUUCCGGCCGUUAAACCACCUUCAUAACCCAAGGUUGACCUCGGAUCAGGUAGGAAGACCCGCUGAACUUAAGCAUAUCAAUAAGCGGAGGA
rnacentral:misc_RNA from 1 species